CCUACGGGUGGCAGCAGUGGGGAAUAUUGCGCAAUGGGCGCAAGCCUGAUGCAGCCAUGCCGCGUGUGUGAAGAAGGCCUUCGGGUUGUAAAGCACUUUCAGCGGGGAGGAAGGCGGUGAGGUUAAUAACCUCAUCGAUUGACGUUACCCGCAGAAGAAGCACCGGCUAACUCCGUGCCAGCAGCCGCGGUAAUACGGAGGGUGCAAGCGUUAAUCGGAAUUACUGGGCGUAAAGCGCACGCAGGCGGUCUGUCAAGUCGGAUGUGAAAUCCCCGGGCUCAACCUGGGAACUGCAUUCGAAACUGGCAGGCUAGAGUCUUGUAGAGGGGUGUAGAAUUCCAGGUGUAGCGGUGAAAUGCGUAGAGAUCUGGAGGAAUACCGGUGGCGAAGGCGGCCCCCUGGACAAAGACUGACGCUCAGGUGCGAAAGCGUGGGGAGCAAACAGGAUUAGAUACCCCGGUAGUC
rnacentral:rRNA from 1 species